UGCUCAGUUAACUCUUCUUGUCUUGCGUGAGAUCAACAAAGUUCUGCUUCUGCUUUCAGAAAGAACAGAAUACCAGAUAUCUGCAGGUCCCGAGGCACGACAGAUAACAGGUCCUGCAACUCCAGCACAGGUGAAGAACUUUGCGUUAUGCCAGCAUCUGCAAGAAAUUCAUACCCGCAUAUCGUCUAUGGUGGCAGGAUUACCAGCUAUUGCAACCGAUAUUUUGUCUCCCGCACUGGGAUCUAUCUAUGGGGUUGCAGGUGAUUCAGUGACACCACUAUUCCAAUCAAUGCUUGAUCGACUGGAGUCAUGCAUCUUGCAAAUUCAUGAUCAAAAUUUUGGUAGUCUCGGCAUGGAUGCUGCUAUGGACAAUAAUGCAUCACCUUAUAUGGAAGAGUUGCAGAAGAGCAUUCUCCAUUUCCGUAGUGAGUUCCUGUCCAGGCUGUUGCCUUCUUCGGCAAAUAGCUUGACUACAGGUUCAGAAACUAUUUGUACUACCCUCGUGAGGAGCAUG
rnacentral:misc_RNA from 1 species